rnacentral:rRNA from 1 species
CCCUUAGAUGUCCUGGGCUGCACGCGCGCUACACUGAUGUGUCCAGUAAGCACCUAACCUCUUCCGAAAGGAACGGGUAACCUUUGCAAAGCACAUCGUGAUGGGGAUAGAUUAUUGCAAUUAUUAGUCUUGAACGAGGAAUUCCUGUAAGCACAAGUCAUCAGCUUGUGUUGAUUACGUCCCUGCCCUUUGUACACACCGCCCGUCGCUCCUACCGAUUGAAUGUUCCGGUGAGCUCUUCGGACUGCGCGGUCUGCAGUUUCUGCGUUCCGUGCGGAAAGUUGCGCAAACCUUAACAUUUAGAGGAAGGAGAAGUCGUAACA